rnacentral:rRNA from 1 species
AGGACGAACGCUGGCGGCGUGCUUAACACAUGCAAGUCGAGCGGAAAGGCCCUUCGGGGUACUCGAGCGGCGAACGGGUGAGUAACACGUGAGUAACCUGCCCCUAGCUCUGGGAUAGCUCCGGGAAACCGGGAUUAAUACCAGAUACGACCACUUUAGACAUCUGUCGUGGUGGAAAGGAUUCCGGCUAGGGAUGGGCUCGCGGCCUAUCAGCUUGUUGGUGGGGUAACGGCCUACCAAGGCGACGACGGGUAGCCGGCCUGAGAGGGCGACCGGCCACACUGGGACUGAGACACGGCCCAGACUCCUACGGGAGGCAGCAGUGGGGAAUAUUGCGCAAUGGGCGAAAGCCUGACGCAGCGACGCCGCGUGAGGGAUGAAGGCCUUCGGGUUGUAAACCCCUUUCAGCAGGGACGAAGCGAAAGUGACGGUACCUGCAGAAGAAGCGCCGGCUAACUACGUGCCAGCAGCCGC